rnacentral:rRNA from 1 species
GAUGAACGCUGGCGGCGUGCUUAACACAUGCAAGUCGAACGGAAAGGCCCAAGUUUGCUUGGGUACUCGAGUGGCGAACGGGUGAGUAACACGUGGGUGAUCUGCCCUGCACUUCGGGAUAAGCCUGGGAAACUGGGGCUAAUACCGGAUAGGACCACAUUCUGGAUGGUGUGGUGGAAAGUUUUUCGGUGGGGGAUGAGCUCGCGGCCUAUCAGCUUGUUGGUGGGGUAAUGGCCUACCAAGGCGUCGACGGGUAGCCGGCCUGAGAGGGUGAACGGCCACAUUGGGACUGAGAUACGGCCCAGACUCCUACGGGAGGCAGCAGUGGGGAAUAUUGCACAAUGGGCGCAAGCCUGAUGCAGCGACGCCGCGUGCGGGAUGACGGCCUUCGGGUUGUAAACUGCUUUCGCUUGGGACGAAGCGCGAGUGACGGUAACUGGUGAAGAAGCACCGGCUAACUACGUG